rnacentral:rRNA from 1 species
UACAGAGGUCUCAAGCGUUGUUCGGAUUCAUUGGGCGUAAAGGGUGCGUAGGCGGCGCGGUAAGUCGGGUGUGAAAUCUCGGAGCUUAACUCCGAAACUGCAUUCGAUACUGCCGUGCUUGAGGACUGGAGAGGAGACUGGAAUUUACGGUGUAGCGGUGAAAUGCGCAGAUAUCGGGAGGAACACCGGUGGCGAAGGCGGUUCUCUGGGCCUGACCUGACGCUGAGGAGCGAAAGCGUGGGGAGCAAACAGG